UACGUAGGGGGCUAGCGUUGUCCGGAUUUAUUGGGCGUAAAGAGCGCGUAGGCGGUCAGGUAGGUCUGGUGUGAAAACUCGAGGCUUAACCUCGAGAUGUCAUCGGAAACCAUCUGGCUAGAGUCCGGAAGAGGAGAGUGGAAUUCCUGGUGUAGCGGUGAAAUGCGCAGAUAUCAGGAAGAACACCAAUGGCGAAAGCAGCUCUCUGGGACGGUACUGACGCUGAGACGCGAAAGCGUGGGGAGCGAACAGG
rnacentral:rRNA from 1 species